rnacentral:lncRNA from 1 species
GAUCACCAUGGAUCGAUUAGUAAACUUAGAAUUGAAAGUAAAUACGCUUUAUUUAUAUAGUAAUGAAUGUUCAUAAUAUACAGAUAAGCGCUAAAAUUAUUCAUGUGAACUUUUGAUACUUUUUCUGAAAUUCUCCAGUCAUUAAAUCUUUUACAAAAUUCAUUGAUUACAUAAAAAAAGAAGAUGUGGUAUGAUUGCCAUGUUAAGACAACUCUCCACAAGAGACCAAAAUGACACAGAUAUUAACAACUAUAGGUCAACGUACGUAAGCCCUACCGCAUACUCAGCUUCAAAAGGCCCGAAAUGACAAUGUAAAACAAUGCAAACGAGAAAACUAGCGGCCUUAUUUAUGUACAAAAAAUGAACGAAAAACAAAUAUGUAACACAUAAACAAACGACAACCACGGAAUUAAAGGCUCCUACUUAAAUAAAUGUUCAACGACAACCACUGAAUUACAGGCUCCUUACUUAAAUAAAUGUUCAUAACAUACUAAAUGUAUGUUCAUAUUGAAAUUGAUAGAAAACCAAAAAUUGGGA